rnacentral:rRNA from 1 species
UAGGGAAUCUUCCGCAAUGGACGAAAGUCUGACGGAGCAACGCCGCGUGAGUGAAGAAGGCUUUCGGUUCGUAAAACUCUGUUGUUAGGGAAGAAAAAAUGUAUAGUAACUAUAUACAAAAGAUACGGUACUUAACCAGAAAGGGACGGCUAACUACGUGCCAGCAGCCUCGGUAAUACGUAGGUCCCGAGCGUUGUCCGGAUUUAUUGGGCGUAAAGCGAGCGCAGGCGGUUAGAAAAGUCUGAAGUGAAAGGCAGUUGCUCAACCAAUGUAGGCUUUGGAAACUGAUUAACUUGAGUGCAGAAGGAGAGAGUGGAAUUCCAUGUGUAGCGGUGAAAUGCGUAGAUAUAUGGAGGAACACCGGUGGCGAAAGCGGCUCUAUGGUCUGUAACUGACGCUGAGGCUCGAAAGCGUGGGGAGCGAACAGG